ACUGACUUUGAAGACGACAAUGAUGUUGAUUGAAUAAUACCAGGAUGCAGCAUUGCAGAAAGUAAUGACGGUAUCUGACAUGUCUUAUGCCAAUCAAUUCCUCCAGAAGAUGACACAAACUUUAAAUUAUGGAAGUUGCGAGCAAGAAUUUUUCAAGGGAAUGUCAGAUGGAGAAGAAACAUCAGUCAACAAGACAGUGUAAAAUGAUAAAGUAUCUGUAAUAGGUGCUUACCAUAUUCUGCCUAUUGUGGAUUCAGUGAUGGUUUUUCAAACGAACUAUGCUCAUCAACCAAAUGUCCUUAAAAUUUGUGGAGUGCAGAGCCACUUUCAGGCGAGACAGUAGUGUGGUUCAUUUUAGUGGACAUGAUUUUAGACGAGAUGUGCUUUGUGAAACUUGAAACAUUGUUCAUUCAUCAUAGUGUAAUGAGAACUGUUGUGGUCCAUCAUUCUAUGCUUUAGUGAAGUAAUGGAGAUAAUGUGAAGUACAUGUGUAAAUGCUCAUAUUCUGCACAACAUAUUUUUCAGUGACAUUAUUUCUUUGAGACCAAGCUCUGGACAGUUGAUAGCCAUUUAUGUGUAGGACUUUAUUUAUUUUUCUGUGUGUGCAAUAGCAACUGCCACUUGCAGUAAACCCAAACAAAGUGGAGAAAUAAUUUGUUGAGUUCAGAGAUUACAAUUUUUAUUGUGUUAUUUUGAUGAGAAGAUAGUAUUAAUAAGGUACAAUGGCACAUUGUAUCUUAUUGAAAAGCUUAUUUAAGAGUUAUCAGUAGAAUUAGACUGCAUGACAAUUAUUAGAAUGGGAAACCUAGAUGAAGUCAAAAGAAACUAUACUGUAUUUUACAGACUGUCCUGGAAAUAUCAUGCAAUAAAUAAUGUCUCCAGUGUUA